UUCGCUAUUAGGAACAUCUUCGACAUUUUUUCUAAAGUUGCCCCCAUGUUGCAUCCCAAAAGUAUCGUACACCAUUUAUGUCAUCCUAGUAUCUUGAUAUUCAUUAUGUCCUGCAGACCUACUACUUUCUGCAACAACAAAGUAAUUUUGUGCAACAUCACCAUGAAUACCACACAAUCUUAAAAAGUCCUCAUGAAAUCCCUUUCUAUAAAGAUGUUCCUUUACAUCUUCUUCAUUUAAAAGAUUUAUACCAUCACAUCUAACACAAGGACAACGAAUAGCCCGAAAACGUGUCCAAACAUCAAGUGUCUUAGCAUGUUCAACAAAUCUUUUGACACCUUCAACAAAUUCC
rnacentral:lncRNA from 1 species